GGGUUGUGAGGUUAAGCGACUAAGCGUACACGGUGGAUGCCCUGGCAGUCAGAGGCGAUGAAGGACGUGCUAAUCUGCGAUAAGCGUCGGUAAGGUGAUAUGAACCGUUAUAACCGGCGAUUUCCGAAUGGGGAAACCCAGUGUGUUUCGACACACUAUCAUUAACUGAAUCCAUAGGUUAAUGAGGCGAACCGGGGGAACUGAAACAUCUAAGUACCCCGAGGAAAAGAAAUCAACCGAGAUUCCCCCAGUAGCGGCGAGCGAACGGGGAGCAGCCCAGAGCCUGAAUCAGUGUGUGUGUUAGUGGAAGCGUCUGGAAAGGCGCGCGAUACAGGGUGACAGCCCCGUACACAAAAAUGCACAUACUGUGAGCUCGAUGAGUAGGGCGGGACACGUGGUAUCCUGUCUGAAUAUGGGGGGACCAUCCUCCAAGGCUAAAUACUCCUGACUGACCGAUAGUGAACCAGUACCGUGAGGGAAAGGCGAAAAGAACCCCGGCGAGGGGAGUGAAAAAGAACCUGAAACCGUGUACGUACAAGCAGUGGGAGCACGCUUCGGCGUGUGACUGCGUACCUUUUGUAUAAUGGGUCAGCGACUUAUAUUCUGUAGCAAGGUUAACCGAAUAGGGGAGCCGAAGGGAAACCGAGUCUUAACUGGGCGUUAAGUUGCAGGGUAUAGACCCGAAACCCGGUGAUCUAGCCAUGGGCAGGUUGAAGGUUGGGUAACACUAACUGGAGGACCGAACCGACUAAUGUUGAAAAAUUAGCGGAUGACUUGUGGCUGGGGGUGAAAGGCCAAUCAAACCGGGAGAUAGCUGGUUCUCCCCGAAAGCUAUUUAGGUAGCGCCUCGUGAAUUCAUCUCCGGGGGUAGAGCACUGUUUCGGCAAGGGGGUCAUCCCGACUUACCAACCCGAUGCAAACUGCGAAUACCGGAGAAUGUUAUCACGGGAGACACACGGCGGGUGCUAACGUCCGUCGUGAAGAGGGAAACAACCCAGACCGCCAGCUAAGGUCCCAAAGUCAUGGUUAAGUGGGAAACGAUGUGGGAAGGCCCAGACAGCCAGGAUGUUGGCUUAGAAGCAGCCAUCAUUUAAAGAAAGCGUAAUAGCUCACUGGUCGAGUCGGCCUGCGCGGAAGAUGUAACGGGGCUAAACCAUGCACCGAAGCUGCGGCAGCGACACUAUGUGUUGUUGGGUAGGGGAGCGUUCUGUAAGCCUGUGAAGGUGUACUGUGAGGUAUGCUGGAGGUAUCAGAAGUGCGAAUGCUGACAUAAGUAACGAUAAAGCGGGUGAAAAGCCCGCUCGCCGGAAGACCAAGGGUUCCUGUCCAACGUUAAUCGGGGCAGGGUGAGUCGACCCCUAAGGCGAGGCCGAAAGGCGUAGUCGAUGGGAAACAGGUUAAUAUUCCUGUACUUGGUGUUACUGCGAAGGGGGGACGGAGAAGGCUAUGUUGGCCGGGCGACGGUUGUCCCGGUUUAAGCGUGUAGGCUGGUUUUCCAGGCAAAUCCGGAAAAUCAAGGCUGAGGCGUGAUGACGAGGCACUACGGUGCUGAAGCAACAAAUGCCCUGCUUCCAGGAAAAGCCUCUAAGCAUCAGGUAACAUCAAAUCGUACCCCAAACCGACACAGGUGGUCAGGUAGAGAAUACCAAGGCGCUUGAGAGAACUCGGGUGAAGGAACUAGGCAAAAUGGUGCCGUAACUUCGGGAGAAGGCACGCUGAUA
rnacentral:rRNA from 1 species